rnacentral:rRNA from 1 species
AACGAACGCUGGCGGCAUGCCUAACACAUGCAAGUCGAACGAACCCUUCGGGGUUAGUUGCGCACGGGUGCGUAACGAGGGGGAAUCUGCCCGUUGCUUCGGAAUAACAGUGGGGAAUUACUGCUAAUACCGGAUGAUGACUUCGGUGCAAAGAUUUUUCGCCCAAGGAUGAGCCCGCGUAGGAGUAGGUAGUUGGUGGGGUAAUGGCCGACCAAGCCAACGAUCCUUAGCUGGUCUGAGAGGAUGAUCUGCCACACUGGGACUGAGACACGGUCCAGACUCCUACGGGAGGAAGCAGUGGGGAAUAUUGGACAAUGGGCGAAAGCCUGAUCCAGCAAUGCCGCGUGAGUGAUGAAGGCCUUAGGGUUGUAAAGCUCUUUUACCAGGGAUGAUAAUGACAGUACCUGGAGAAUAAGCUCCGGCUAACUCCGUGCCAGCAGCCGCCGUAACAC